GAACGCAAUUUUUCCAGAUUCAUUUCAAAAAGUUCUGAAAAGUUCCCAGCUUUUAUAACAACAGAAGAACCUUACAUACCUGACGAACAAAUUAUUGUUAAUGUCUGUACAUUUUAUGUACCACUUCCGUUUUCAAAUAUACAAAGGGAUAGAAAGAGAAGAGCUGGACUGAACCAACUGGCCAACAUAGAAAACGUC